rnacentral:rRNA from 1 species
CUUGGGAUCCGUGCCGUAGCUAACGCAUUAAGUACCCCGCCUGGGGAGUACGGCCGCAAGGCUAAAACUCAAAGAAAUUGACGGGGGCCCGCACAAGCGGCGGAGCAUGUGGAUUAAUUCGAUGCAACGCGAAGAACCUUACCUGGGUUUGACAUGCACAGGACGACGGCAGAGAUGUCGUUUCCCUUGUGGCCUGUGUGCAGGUGGUGCAUGGCUGUCGUCAGCUCGUGUCGUGAGAUGUUGGGUUAAGUCCCGCAACGAGCGCAACCCUUGUCUCAUGUUGCCAGCACGUAAUGGUGGGGACUCGUGAGAGACUGCCGGGGUCAACUCGGAGGAAGGUGGGGAUGACGUCAAGUCAUCAUGCCCCUUAUGUCCAGGGCUUCACACAUGCUACAAUGGCCGGUACAAAGGGCUGCGAAGCCGUGAGGUGGAGCGAAUCCUUGUUAAAGCCGGUCUCAGUUCGGAUCGGGGUCUGCAACUCGACCCCGUGAAGUCGGAGUCGCUAGUAAUCGCAGAUCAGCAACGCUGUGGUGAAUACGUUCCCGGGCCUUGUACACACCGCCCGUCACGUCAUGAAAGUCGGUAACACCCGAAGCCGGUGGCCUAACCCGUAAGGGAG